rnacentral:rRNA from 1 species
UACGAGUGCCUCAAGCGUUAAUCGGAAUCAUUGGGCGUAAAGCGCGUGUAGGCGGCUUGACAAGUCAGAUGUGAAAUCCCUGGGCUUAACCCAGGAAGUGCAUUUGAAACUGUCUGGCUCGAGUAAGGGAGAGGAAAGUGGAAUUCCUGGUGUAGAGGUGAAAUUCGUAGAUAUCAGGAGGAACACCGGUGGCGAAGGCGACUUUCUGGCCCUAUACUGACGCUGAGACGCGAAAGCGUGGGUAGCAAACAAG